GUCGAGCGGAUGAAGAGAGCUUGCUCUCUGAUUCAGCGGCGGACGGGUGAGUAAUGCCUAGGAAUCUGCCUGAUAGUGGGGGACAACGUUUCSAAAGGAACGCUAAUACCGCAUACGUCCUACGGGAGAAAGCAGGGGACCUUCGGGCCUUGCGCUAUMAGAUGAGCCUAGGUCGGAUUAGCUAGUUGGUGAGGUAACGGCUCACCAAGGCGACGAUCCGUAACUGGUCUGAGAGGAUGAUCAGUCACACUGGAACUGARACWCGGUCCAGACUCCUACGGGAGGCAGCAGUGGGGAAUAUUGGACAAUGGGCGAAAGCCUGAUCCAGCCAUGCCGCGUGUGUGAAGAAGGUCUUCGGAUUGUAAAGCACUUUAAGUUGGGAGGAAGGGCAUUAACCUAAUACGUUAGUGUUUUGACGUUACCGACAGAAUAAGCACCGGCUAACUUCGUGCCAGCAGCCGCGGUAAUACGAAGGGUGCAAGCGUUAAUCGGAAUUACUGGGCGUAAAGCGCGCGUAGGUGGUUUGUUAAGUUGAAUGUGAAAGCCCCGGGCUCAACCUGGGAACUGYAUCCMAAACUGGCAAGCUAKAGUAUGGCAGAKGGUGGUGGAAUUUCCUGUGUAGCGGUGAAAUGCKUAGAUAUAGGAAGGAACACCAGUGGCKAA
rnacentral:rRNA from 2 species